CCCUGCCCCAAGUAAAGCUGAAUUUUUAAUGCAUAAGCUUAUUUUUUGAGCUAAUGGUACCUCAGGAUAAAACAUACUCAUGGAUAAUGGGGGGAAAGGCAGUAAACAGAAAGGCAGACAUCUACAUUUAGUCUGGAAUGAAGAGGAAAGCUUGUGAUAGGUGACAAUUUGAGAAAAUUUAGCUGAUACGGAGGAUUCAGUCUGUAUUUCAGCAUCGUUAACAUUUUUUCAUGUAAGGACCAGAUGGUAAAUAUUUUAGGCUUUGUGGGCCUGGAUGCUGUAAUUAUUCAUAGGAAUCCGUGCUUCGGCAAUCAUGUAGUAAAUAAAUAUAUAUUCAGCAUUAAACAUGCUACUAUCACUUUAGUAGCAGCCAUGGUGAACAAAGUACAUCUGUCCUCCAAAGAGUUGGCAAUUAAGUGGAGGAAAGAAAAGACUGGUUCUCACCAAUCAACAAUCAAUCUAUACUAUGGCUUAAGAAACUCUUCAGUGCCAUGUCUGGUAGUACAGAGCUCAGUUUCAGCAGAAUGAAGCAGACGUAGAGCAAAUGAGAGGGAAGAAGGCUGGGGACCCAGAGCUCAACUUGCUACUGCUGAGAUACCAAGACAACAUAGAGAGAGCUCUCUAGACAGGCAGGACACUGGGAGUCCAAAAUACAUGUAACACAUUCAUGAAAACAAACAAACAAAAACAAAACACAGUAUAUUACAGCUUCUAAGAAUGUCAACCCUGGAGCAAAAAAAUGUCUGGGUUCAAAACAUAGCUCUGCCACUUACCAGCCAUGUGACCUUGGGCAAGUUACUCAAACUCCUUCUCCUUUAGUAUUCUCAUCUAUAAAGUGAGAGUGAUUAUAACUCACCAUGUGGUAGCAUUAUGUAAGAAUAAAAUGUGUCCGUAUUUAUCCACCUUCAGAACAGUGCUGGAUGUUUGGUAAAUUCUAAAUAAAUGUUUCCUAUUAUAAUCACUAUCAUGGUCGUUGUUAAUAAAGUAUAAGGAUACUAAUCUGCUUUAUGUAUAGAUACAUUUGUAUGUGUCCAGGAAACUUGAAGUCCCUCUGUGUCUGUAGGCUAAAGAAAGUAAGAACAAAACAAAAUUAAACAACAAAAAGUAAACAAGAAUACAAUGGUCUACUGUUUUUCUAACUGCAUCUGUAGUUAGAAUUUUAAAGCUUAUACAGAAUCAUAAAUAUACCUCAUGAAAUAUUACAAGAAUUUUGUCUUUACUUCUAAAAAAAUUUAAAAUCCUCUCAAUAAGCAGUGAAAACUGUAUUCUGUAUAUUUUUUUCAAAUAAUAGAAUAUUUAAUGAAGGCAUUCUCCAUAUACACAAAUUUCAUUUUUUAACCAAGUCACUAUGACUUGUUUUCUCCAAAGAACUAUGACCAACUGAUCACAGCACUUCCUAGUCUAAUUGGAGAAAGAGGUUUGUUUUUCUAUUUGUGAUGAUUCUUUCCUUUUUCGGGAUGAUUUGCAUUGUUCCACUUAUAUUCACUAUAUUGUGAGCAACCCUUCAGCUCAGCAGCCAAAGCAACAGUGUCAUUGAUUACCAAUACUGAAGAGUUCCUCAAUCAGAAAAAGAUAUAGUACCCAUUUAAGUCACAAGUACUAUACUAACCAUGAGAGAAUUAAAAGGCAACUAAAUCAUGGACUCUGCCCUCAAAAAAAACCAAUAACUCUAGAAGAGUUAGAUAUUCAUAAAAUGCACAUAAAUAUGAGGGAUAUGCUUUAAAUAAUUUUUAAUAAAUGUGAUUGGUGAGCAUGACAGAAUAAUUCUGACUCAUGAUUUGAAGGGAUUCCACUUAUUAUCCCACAUAGUACAUCACAAUCAUCAAUAGAAGAGAUGGAUAAUACAAUAAUAACAACUGGUCAUAGCUUUACAGCUGAAGCUUGGAGGCCCCCACCUCCCGUCCAGAACAAGCAUUCGUUCUUUACUUUACUUUAUCCUGCUGACGACUAGGAAACCUAAGGAAAUGGGUUCAGAAGUCUAAAAGUAAGAGACGGUUUUAGCCACCUUGGGCUGCUGUAACAAAAUACCACAGACUGAAUGGCUUAAAAAAACAAACAUUUAUUUCUCAAAGUUCUGGAGGCUAAGAAGUCUAACAUGAAGAUGCUGGCAGAUUCGGUUCUUGAUAAAGACUCUCUUCCUGGUUUUCAGAUGGCUGCCUCUUCACGCCUCCUCACAGGUGGAAAGAAUGACUGCCAGCUCUCUAGUCUCUCCUGGCAAGGACAUUGAUUCUUAUCAGGAGAACCCUGCCCUCACGACGUCAUCUAAACUUAAUCACCUCCCAAAGGCCACACCACCAACUACCACUAUAUUAUGGGUUAGGGCUUUGACAUAUAAACUGGGGGACAUGAACAUUCAAUUCCAAACAGGGAGAGUCAAGAAACUCGGGAUAAUGACCACCAACUAGUGUAACAAUAUUUUGACAUUUUAGAAGCAUGUUGAUACUUUAAAAACCAUCCAUGGCCUAUAUUGAUGGAAAUAAGCUAAAUAUGUGCCCUGCUAUACUAAGAUGGACCCCAAAAUAUGAAUAGCAUUUAGUAGUUGCAUAUGUUAUGUAAGGCUGAAAGGUUAGGUAUGUUCGUUCACCUCAAUAUAUCAUGUGUAUACAGGUUAUUUGCAUAAUCAUUUCACUGAAUCUGUACCAACUCUGUAAAACUGAUAUACAAAUGGCUCGAACAAUUUGGGGGUUAAGGGCACAAGACAUGCUACUAUUGGAAAAUCAGCAUAUAGCUUUACAGUCAGCCUUCCUUCUGUAUCUGCACUUCCACAUCUGCAGAUUCAGCCACUCCUGGAUCAUAUGCUACUGUAGAUAUAUUUAUUGAAAAAAAUAUUAUAUAGUCCUGGCUACAAAACGAAGAAGAGCAGGUCCCCUUAUCAAUGGCCCUUGAAAAGCAACUCACCCUCAAAAAGAAUCCGCCGCAACUCUACUAACCCAAUGUAGCAGCAUAACCCAUUUUGAUAUUGAAAUUUGAGUGAAAGUAAUUUGGAAUUGAUACCAUAGAGAGGUAGAUUUUCCCUUAUUUUUCUUACCUUUAAGUGCACUGUAAUCCCACAUUUGGUUUUUUUUUUUUUUUUUUUCGUUAAAAUAACUGGAUUGAAUCUAAACACAAUCACAUCUUUUGUUGGUUUUUAUUUGAAUAAAUAUGGCAGGAAGUACUUACUUUAUAACACUAGUUCUGCAGAACCUAUUUCCUUUCCAUGUUCAGAUGUCAUGAAUAUUUAUGAACCCAGAGAUGGAAGCAGUAAAAUAAAAUAAAUUGGUUUGAGCCACACACUAUUCGGUGAUCUUUUCCAGUUCAUUCAACCGACUGCCACUUGACCAAGACCUCACUCAAAUGAACUUACACAUUAAACUACUCACUGAAAAAUUGAUUUCCCAAAUGUUUUCCAAUUACAAAAUCACAUGGGGUUUUGUGGAAGCAUUCUGGAAAAUAAUCAGUAUUGGUAAGAAUUUUAAUUUUGAUACAAAAUUUUAAAAAUCAAAUGCUGGUUAUUGGUUAUUGGUUCUCAGCCCCUCAAGCCCCAUCCUAAAGCAUGCUUUAAUAAAAGUUUGCAUUUUUGUCCUGAAAAGUUUAUAUCUCCUUCUUUGUUAAAGAAAUAUGGAUUCUUCUCUUGACUAUAUGACUUACGGGGCCCUUCUGUGGGAGGAGUGUAAUUCAUGACUCCAUUGUCAGGUAUGGCCAUCUGACUUUCUUUGGUCAAUAAAAUGUAGGCAGAAGUGAUGCAAAUCCAAUCCAAGUAGAAGUUUAGCCAGUUUGUAUUCUGCUAACCCUCUUGCUCUCCCCCUCUGCCAUGGGAAUAGCAUCCUUCAAAUAAGGCCUAUUCUUUCAUAUCAAGUUCCAGAAUGAGGAAAUACAUGAGACCAAAACACAUGAAAACUCCCACCUAAUAAUAUGCAAUAUGAAUGAGAAAUAACCUGUAUAUUUGUAAGCCAUGGGGAUUUGUCAAUGAAGCAUAAGCUAAUAAAGCUGGUACUGGAAAUGGGAUGCUUUCAUAAGAUAAGCCUAAACUAUGUGGCACUGGCUCGUGGUAUCAGGGGAAAGGUAAGGGCAAAACUCUUUUGAAAGUCUGAAAAACAGUCCUAUCUGGAGUUCCUGCUGUGGCUCAGCUGUAAGGAACACAACUAGCAUCCAUGAGGAUGCGGGUUUAAUCCCCGGCCUUGCUCAGUGGAUUAAGGAUCGGGGGUUGCCAUGAGCUGUGGAGUAGGUCACAGUUGCUGCUCAGACCGCACAUUGCUGUGACUGUGGCAUAGGCUGGCAGCUCCAGCUCUGAUAUGACCCCUAGCCUGGGAACUUCCAUAUGCUGCAAGUGUGACCCUAAAAAGCAAAAGAAAAAAAAGGAAAAGAAAACAGUGCUACCAUGUUACAAAGAUGCAGAAUGGUUUGUGAAAGUUUCACCUAUGAUGAUUAAGACAGAUAAUGUUCUGAAUGAGUUUCUGUUAAAGAGGUUGGGAUAAGUAAUAUUACAGAUGAGACUUUGUUGUUACCAGUUAGGUUUAAUAAACUACUACAAGAAAUAAAUUGGCUUAGAAAAGAGCUGACGGAUGUUUAUGGAGGGAAAAUGCGGAAGAUUCAGAAAUAUCAGUGCUUGCAAAAUGAGAGAUAAAAUAGGUAAAAGAUAAAGACAGGGCAGGGCAAGGACCAAAUCCAGGAUGUGGUUGUCAGUGAGUUUGUUUCUGCAUAAAUGAACCUCUCCACAGAAAAGAAACUCAUGGACUUGGAGAACAGACUUGUGGUAGCCAAGGGGGAAGGGGAGGGAGUGGGAUGGACUGGGAAUUUGGGGUUAAUAGAUGCAAACUAUUGCCUUUGGAAUGGAUAAGCAAUGUGAUCCUGCUGUAUAGCACUGGGAACUGUAUCUAGUCACUUAUGAUGGAGGAUAAUGUGAGAAAAAGAACAUAUAUAUGUAUGUGACUGGGUCACCAUGCUGUACAGUAGAAAAUUGACAGAACACUGUAAACCAGCUAUAAUGGAAAAAAUAAAAAUCAUUUAAAAAAUUUUUAAGAAAAAAGGAAAGAAAGGAAGCAAGGAAAGAAGGGAGGGGGGAGGGAGGAAAUGGUACCCUCCCUUAAUUUGCCUUCAGAAUGCUUUUACAUGGUAAAAGGUCUCAGGGAAAAGAGACAGAGAGUAUGGUGCUUCCCCUAAAGACUGAUAAAUUCUAAUUACCUGCAUCUCAGUUUAAAGAGAGGCAUGCUUCAAAAAGAGUUGUGGGUCAAGCUAUUAGGACAAUUAACCUGAGAGAAAUCAAAUAAAUUUGAAGCUGAUAGAAUUUUUAAGUGAGUUGUACUUCCAAAAAAAAAAAAAAAAAANAAAAAAAA
rnacentral:lncRNA from 1 species